UACGUACUGGGCGAACGUUAUUCGGAAUCACUGGGCUUACGGGGUGCGUAGGCGGCCGACCAGGUCGGAUGUGAAAGGCUUCAGCUCAACUGAGGCAUUGCGUUCGAAACCGGCCGGCUUGAGUCAGCUAGGGGCAUGUGGAACUUCCGGUGGAGCGGUGAAAUGUGUUGAUAUCGGAAGGAACGCCGGUGGCGAAAGCGACAUGCUGGGGCUCGACUGACGCUGAGGCACGAAAGCCAGGGGAGCGAACGGG
rnacentral:misc_RNA from 1 species